rnacentral:rRNA from 1 species
AACGAACGCUGGCGGCAUGCCUAACACAUGCCAGUCGAACGAGACCUUCGGGUCUAGUGGCGCACGGGUGCGUAACGCGUGGGAACCUGCCCUUAGGUUCGGAAUAACUCCCCGAAAGGGGUGCUAAUACCGGAUAAUGUCUUCGGACCAAAGAUUUAUCGCCUUUGGAUGGGCCCGCGUUGGAUUAGCUAGUUGGUAGGGUAAAAGCCUACCAAGGCGACGAUCCAUAGCUGGUCUUAGAGGAUGAUCAGCCACACUGGGACUGAGACACGGCCCAGACUCCUACGGGAGGCAGCAGUGGGGAAUAUUGGACAAUGGGCGAAAGCCUGAUCCAGCAAUGCCGCGUGAGUGAUGAAGGCCUUAGGGUUGUAAAGCUCUUGUACCCGGGAUGAUAAUGACAGUACCGGGAGAAUAAGCUCCGGCUAACUC